GUGUCAGUCGCCGCGGUAAUACGGAGGGUGCAAGCGUUAAUCGGAAUCACUGGGCGUAAAGCGCGCGUAGGCGGUCUUUUAAGUCGGACGUGAAAGCCCUCGGCUCAACCGGGGAAUUGCGUUCGAAACUGGGAGACUUGAGUCCUGGAGAGGGUGGCGGAAUUCCGGGUGUAGGAGUGAAAUCCGUAGAUAUCCGGAGGAACACCGGUGGCGAAGGCGGCCACCUGGACAGGUACUGACGCUGAGGCGCGAAAGCGU
rnacentral:rRNA from 1 species